ensembl:lncRNA
CCUCCGCCCGGAGCCCCCCCGGCCGCGCCGCCCGCCCGGCGCCCCCCCCGCCGCCCGGCAGCAGCAGCGCCUCAGACCCGCCACCCAUCGCUGGAUGUUCCUCCACUUUACCCACCGUAUCAAACAACUUUUACCAGUAAAUAUCGGUUUAUUCCUGAAACCAGAAGCCCUAAACAUACCUUUGUUUAUAAGUGCACUGGUGUACCAAGCCUCAGAACCACUGCUUUCUCCAGCUCAUAGGAUGCUUUUCCAGACUGUGGAUACGUGUAUGUGUACUGCUGUGUUGAUAAGUAAAUGCCAACGAUGGAGUUCGUUGCUUUUAUACAUCCCAAAGAGAAGUUCUCCACCGUUCACUGUCUGUUUUCUGACCGAAAAGGCGUGUGUUUGUGAACAGUGCUCACGCCAGCUCUGCCAUCCCACCCUCACAUCAGCUCACACCAAUGCCAGGAUGGGAGGAGUUGCCUGCGUACCUUCCCCAAAACACCCCGGGCCGCAGUGGCAUCGUCAGGGAGCAGUUCAAACCUGUGUCCUUUGGGCUUUGUGUAAAGCAAAUGCAGAGCAAGAAAAAUUGAGAUGUUAAAUCCAUUAGAAAACCAAUUCCUUAUUGUACAGUAGUAUGGAGAUCUCUAGUCAACCUGCCAUUAAUAAUAGAUUCUUAUUUUUUGAAUGAUCUAUUUAAAAGAACAGCAAGCAUUGUAUUUGCUAGUAAAUCUGAAGUGUUUACAUGGAAUUACUAAAUAAAUUAUUUGAUCUAAUAUGGCUCUUAUCA